UAUCCCUUUACGGACAUCGAUAAAAAAUUGGAACGACACUGAGAAGAUUAGUAUGCACCCGCUCAAUAAUAAAACACAUAAAUUGAAAAAUGAUCCAAAUUUAA
rnacentral:snRNA from 1 species